rnacentral:rRNA from 1 species
CAGGCUUAACACAUGCAAGUCGAGGGGCAGCAUGGUCUUAGCUUGCUAAGGCCGAUGGCGACCGGCGCACGGGUGAGUAACGCGUAUCCAACCUGCCUUACACUCUUGGACAGCCUUCUGAAAGGGAGAUUAAUACAAGAUGUUAUCAUGAGUAAGCAUUUUCGCAUGAUUAAAGGUUUACCGGUGUAAGAUGGGGAUGCGUUCCAUUAGAUAGUAGGCGGGGUAACGGCCCACCUAGUCUUCGAUGGAUAGGGGUUCUGAGAGGAAGGUCCCCCACAUUGGAACUGAGACACGGUCCAAACUCCUACGGGAGGCAGCAGUGAGGAAUAUUGGUCAAUGGGCGAGAGCCUGAACCAGCCAAGUAGCGUGAAGGAUGACUGCCCUAUGGGUUGUAAACUUCUUUUAUAAAGGAAUAAAGUCGGGUAUGCAUACCCGUUUGCAUGUACUUUAUGAAUAAGGAUCGGCUAACUCCGUGCCAGCAGCCGCGGUAAUACGGAGGAUCCGAGCGUUAUCCGGAUUUAUUGGGUUUAAAGGGAGCGUAGAUGGAUGUUUAAGUCAGUUGUGAAAGUUUGCGGCUCAACCGUAAAAUUGCAGUUGAUACUGGAUAUCUUGAGUGCAGUUGAGGCAGGCGGAAUUCGUGGUGUAGCGGUGAAAUGCUUAGAUAUCACGAAGAACUCCGAUUGCGAAGGCAGCCUGCUAAGCUGCAACUGACAUUGAGGCUCGAAAGUGUGGGUAUCAAACAGGAUUAGGUACCCUGGUAGUCCACACGGUAAACGAUGAAUACUCGCUGUUUGCGAUAUACAGCAAGCGGCCAAGCGAAAGCGUUAAGUAUUCCACCUGGGGAGUACGCCGGCAACGGUGAAACUCAAAGGAAUUGACGGGGGCCCGCACAAGCGGAGGAACAUGUGGUUUAAUUCGAUGAUACGCGAGGAACCUUACCCGGGCUUAAAUUGCAGAUGAAUUACGGUGAAAGCCGUAAGCCGCAAGGCAUCUGUGAAGGUGCUGCAUGGUUGUCGUCAGCUCGUGCCGUGAGGUGUCGGCUUAAGUGCCAUAACGAGCGCAACCCUUGUUGUCAGUUACUAACAGGUCAUGCUGAGGACUCUGACAAGACUGCCAUCGUAAGAUGUGAGGAAGGUGGGGAUGACGUCAAAUCAGCACGGCCCUUACGUCCGGGGCUACACACGUGUUACAAUGGGGGGUACAGAGGGCCGCUACCACGCGAGUGGAUGCCAAUCCCAAAAACCUCUCUCAGUUCGGACUGGAGUCUGCAACCCGACUCCACGAAGCUGGAUUCGCUAGUAAUCGCGCAUCAGCCACGGCGCGGUGAAUACGUUCCCGGGCCUUGUACACACCGCCCGUCAAGCCAUGGGAGCCGGGGGUACCUGAAGUGCGUAACCGCGAGGAGCGCCCUAGGGUAAAACUGGUGACUGGGGCUAAG